rnacentral:rRNA from 1 species
GACGAACGCUGGCGGCGUGCUUAACACAUGCAAGUCGAACGGAAAGGCCCUGCUUUUGUGGGGUGCUCGAGUGGCGAACGGGUGAGUAACACGUGAGUAACCUGCCCUUGACUUUGGGAUAACUUCAGGAAACUGGGGCUAUUACGGGAUAGAAGCUCCGGCUGCAUGGUGGGGGUUGGAAGGUUUCGGCGGUUGGGGAUGGACUCGCGGCUUAUCGGCUUGUUGGUGGGGUAGUGGCUUACCAAGGCUUUGACGGGUAGCCGGCCUGAGAGGGUGACCGGCCACAUUGGGACUGAGAUACGGCCCAGACUCCUACGGGAGGCAGCAGUGGGGAAUAUUGCACAAUGGGCGGAAGCCUGAUGCAGCAACGCCGCGUGCGGGAUGACGGCCUUCGGGUUGUAAACCGCUUUCGCCUGUGACGAAGCGUGAGUGACGGUAAUGGGUAAAGAAGCACCGGCUAACUACGUG